AAAUAUAACAUAAGACAUAUAGAAAAUACCUGCGUAGAGCCAUAUAAUAAGAACUUUUCACAGCCGCGCAGUCCCCAAAAAUCAGUGUCCCAGGGGCCCCGAACCCAAGCCCUGCGCUUUCCAUCACCCGUGGGGCUCCCGGUGCGGUGCCGGUGCGGUCCCGGUGCUGUCCCGGUGCUGUCCCGGUGCUGUCCCGGUGCGGUCCCGGUGCGGUCCCGGUGCUGUCCCGGUGCGGUCCCGGUGCUGUCCCGGUGCGGUCCCGGUGCUGUCCCGGUGCGGUCCCGGUGCUGUCCCGGUGCUGUCCCGGUGCUGUCCCGGUGCUGUCCCGGUGCUGUCCCGGUGCGGUCCCGGUGCGGUGCCGGUGCUGUCCCGGUGCGGUCCCGGUGCUGUCCCGGCGCGGUCCCGGUGCUGUCCCGGUGCGGUCCCGGUGCUGUCCCGGUGCUGUCCCGGUGCUGUCCCGGUGCUGUCCCGGUGCUGUGCCGGUGCUGCCCCGGUGCUGUCCCGGUGCUGUCCCGGUGCUGUCCCGGUGCUGUCCCGGCGCGGUCCCGGUGCUGUCCCGGUGCUGUCCCGGUGCGGUCCCGGUGCUGUCCCGGUGCUGUCCCGGUGCUGUCUCGGUGCGGUCCCGGUGCUGUCCCGGUGCUCUCCCGGUGCUGUCCCGGUGCGGUCCCGGUGCGGUCCCGGUGCUGUCCCGAUGCGGUCCCGGUGCUGUCCCGGUGCGGUGCCGGUGCGGUCCCGGUGCGGUCCCGGUGCUGUCCCGGUGCUGUCCCGGUGCGGUCCCGGUGCUGUCCCGGUGCUGUCCCGGUGCUGUCCCGCUGCUGUCCCGGUGCUGUCCCGCUGCUGUCCCGGUGCUGUCCCGGUGCUGUCCCGGUUCUGUCCCGCUGCUGUCCCGGUGCUGUCCCGCUGCUGUCCCGGUGCUGUCCCGGUGCUGUCCCGGUGCUGUCCCGGUGCUGUCCCGGUGCUGUCCCGGUUCUGUCCCGGUUCUGUCCCGGUGCUGUCCCGGUGCUGUCCCGGUGCUGUCCCGGUGCUGUCCCGCUGCUGUCCCGGUGCUGUCCCGGUGCUGUCCCGGUGCGGUGCCGGUGCUGUCCCGGUGCGGUCCCGGUGCGGUCCCGGUGUCCCGGGAGGCUCCAGGAGCAGCGAGGAGCCGCCGGCUGCUCCCGUUCCCCACCCAGCCCCGGGAGCCGAGCCGUGACCGGAGCGCUUUCACUUUCAGUUCCAGGCUGA
rnacentral:lncRNA from 1 species